rnacentral:lncRNA from 1 species
AUUUUAACGAUGAGAGGUUUUUCUCCAUGAGUCCAUUUUGUCUAAGCCCCGCCUCUGCCCCAUAAAGGCCCCACCACAUGGCUGUUGUAGCCCCAGCACACUGUCUCAUGUUGUAAUGAUCCCUUCCUAGUGGUCAAAUUUAUUGUGAAUUGAAAUGGGAUGAUGUGAUCUACACUCCCCUACCGAGGUCCGCACAGUUAGACUUGGAACUACAGUGUUUAGUGGUAGUAAUAGUGGGUUUACACGCACAGUAACGUCGACACUAAACACACAGUGUUGGCUAGUCUGUUAGUUCCUCGGCUUGGUAGCCAUUACAAGUUUAGUUGCCCAGCCGUGUUGAGACCCCAUGACCACAGAUGUAAAUGGUUGCCAUAGGGACCUCGUGGCAAGCGGUGUUCCAUGUGAGGUCAGAGAGGAAGAGGAGGAUGACAUGGCGUUUGCUAAAUACACCACCGAUAAUGAUCUAUUAGCGUUAGCCGCGCCUCUAACCCCUCCCUCCAGACCCAUCUGUAUUAGCUACGCUGCGUUGUUUUGCUAAUCACAACACUACCUGGGCGGCAAGUAGCCUAGUGGUUAAAGUGUUGGGCUAGUAUCCGAAAGGUUACUGGAUCGAAUCCCCGAGCUAACAAGGUAAAAAUCUGUCGUUCUGCCCCUGAACAAGGCAGUUAACCCACUGUUCCCCGGUAGGCCAUCAUUGUAAAUAAGAAUUUGUUCUUAACUGACUUGUCUAGUUAAAUAAAAGUUACAUCAAAAAUAUAAAAUAUUACCCUGAGCGUCGGUGUAUAGCUUAGCCCCUUCAGUAGCAUUUGCACCGCUAAUGCGUUAGCAUGCUAACGUAGGCCAGACCCUUGAAUAACAUUAGCACUUACGUUAAUAUGGUAGCAUGCUAAUUUAGCCUAGCCCAGCCGUGUUGAGACCCCCUUGACCACAGAUUUAUGUACGCACCUUAACCUGACGCUCCAACGUAUGGAAGCUCUUACCCCUAUAUUAUAUUACUGCAUUAUCCCCUAUGCUCUUAUUAUAUAUCCCAAUGGGGAGCACUUAACUAAUGUUGCAUUCAUUGUGAUUAUUGAUGAAUUGACAGUCUGUCUGAUAGGGUUCCCCUGUGACCUAGGACAUUUCUUUGACCUCUAGAGAUCUAUUUUAACAUUAGACACAUUUAGAGACUCCUUUGUGUGUUAAUAUGCCCCUUGUUAACAAUAGCUGUUUAAAUGUGAGCAGUGGUCUUCAGAAGAGUCCCACUGGAUCCCCUAACAGGUUAAAACACAGUCAGGACAAACAUGGUGCCACGUCGGGGGUCAGAGUGCUGCCCCUCUGACUGGCACGUCUCAAAUGGCACCCUAUUUCCUACAUGGUGCACUACUACUCCUGUUCAUCAGAAGCAGUGCAUUAUGGGGGGUAGGUUGCCGUUAUAGACAAGACCUGAUGAAGUCCCAAAGCAUAGACCCACACCAGCCCUGUCAGCUGGCUGGCCAAUCAGGACAGGCCUGGUAGCACCGCCUCCCCAACCCCGCCUGGUGAUUGGUUAGCAGUCGCCACGGCGAUAGCACAGCCGUUCUCAGCUCUUUAACCAACAACAAGAAGCACUUCCCCCAAACUACCUCCACAAUCAGCAGGGGUUUGGGGUGGGAACACAUGAAUGUUCUGCCCACAAUCUAAAGAUCCUAAAUAGUUUUAUAAUUAUGAUAGAGGACAAAAUAAGUAUUCCCUUAAUAGGUGUGCUCUGAGAGGAAUCAGAGUAUUGUCUUGUUUUAAUGUUAGUAGACGACAGAGCAGAGUAGUAGGAUUGAUCUGUCUGUCUCCUGGACAUCUGUAGAAAUAACAUGGACUGAAUCAACUCAAUUUAACCAGCGUAGGGACAUGGAUGCUGCCCAAAGGACUCCUAGUCCUUCUACUGCACUAGUUCUGUUUAUGGCCCAUAGGGCUACCCCCAUAGGGCUUUGGUCAAAAGUAGUGCACUAUAUAGGGAAUGGGGUACCAUUUGGGAGGCACCCUAUAUGAACCCCUGACAAGGCAAGGCAACAGAAGGAGACCAUGUCAAAGACUUGAUGCUCUAUCUAUCUGAUGGUUAGGCCUAAGACAAUGUUUCCCAAACUCGUACCUGGGGACGCCAAGGGGUUUCCCCCCCCCCCCUAGCACUACACAACUGAUUCAAAUAAUCAAAGCUUGCCGAUGAGUUGGUUAUUGAAUCAGCUGUGUAGUGCUGGGUCAGAACCAAAAGGUGCACCCGGGAGAGGGGGGGGGUGACUGAGUUGGGGAAACGCUGGUCUAAAAUCUUAACUGUUUAACUGAAGGAAACCCUGCCCAGAUGAAAUGGCACCCUAUUCCCUACAUUCUGACUGAUCCUCUUCGUUCCUGUGAAGAACCUAAGGAUUCCACAAGACUGCCUCUGUUGUUGAUCUUCAGCCUUAUACUCAUAGGGUACACAGUCAGUGUUGAUAUUUAAAUCACUGAGCCCACCGUUAAGAUCCGUUACACUGAGACACAACAAACGGCCCGUUAACUUUUCCAACCACAACUACCUUAGUAGCAUCUACAUAGCCCCACAAAGCCCAAAGUUGCCAAAGCAAACAUAACAUCUAAAUACACUUCAACCAAAAUGAUUUUGGAAAGCUGCGGCUCAAGACUCCAUGGCGUGCAAGGGUUGUGGAACUGUUUACAAGCAAAUCAUCUCUGCCUUCUGAUGGUUGUUGUAAAACGAGACUUUGGAUCUUAAUCCCACAUGAAGUAUUGAGAACAACAACAGUCUUUUAAUCCAGUCGUCUCAGGGCUAUCUAGCAGACAGAUUUGAACCCCUAGACUGGCUAGAGAAGAGCCCCACUGGUCAUAUAAUACCCAGCAUGACUGAACGACUACGACUCAUAUAUUUUUUAUAUAUAUACACACACACACACAGAGAGUACAUAUUCAUAGGAUGCACCUCCCUCACUAUGUCGCAUCAUGCCAUUGUUGUGAACGUUCUCAAGCAGGCCUCUAUCGGCGGCGCCCUAAAGUUGCGAUUAAAAAAAAGUAAUUCUGGAAAUACAAUGACAUUGCUAAAGUAGUCAAGUAUUUAGUAGGAAAAAGUUUGCAAGCGUUAUCAUGCCUUCAAAUUUACUUUGAUUGCAAUGUUGUCAUUAGCUAGCAAAGUUUGUCAAAAACCUAAUAAAAAAAAUGGCCUCACCUCCAUUUUAGCUAGCUAACGUUACACUGCAUCUAAAGUCAAUCUGGUGGCUAGCUAGCUAACGUUACACUGCAUCUAAAGUCAAUCUGGUGGCUAGCUAGCUAACGUUACACUGCAUCUAAAGUCAAUCUGGUGGCUAGCUAGCUAACGUUACACUGCAUCUAAAGUCAAUCUGGUGGCUAGCUAGCUAACGUUACACUGCAUUUAAAGUCUAUCUGGUGGCCUCACCUCUAUCUUAGCUAGCUAGCUAAUGUUAUACUGCAUCUAAAGUCAAUCUGGUCGUCUCCCCUCAAUCUUAGCUUGCUAAUGUUAUACUGUAUCUAAAGUCUAUCUGGUGGCCUCACCUCAAUCUUAGCUAGCUAGCUAACGUUAUACUGUAUCUAAAGUCAAUCUGGCGACAUCAAAAGGUUUUCCUACUAAUUAUUUGCCUCCUUUUGAGUGUCAUUGUAUUCCCAAGCCACUGUAAUGCACUUUUGAUGAAAUCUUCAUCGGCGCUCAUUGAGUAGAAUGCUCAGUCGUGCAUCAGUUCAAAACGAACGUUCUAAACAAUAUUGUGACGGAAUUUGCACUCCAUGAAUAAUGCUUUAACCUUUUCACAUGACGUUACUGUAGCACAAUAAGAUGACGGGACACUGCAGGUCAUGACUAUUUCUGUUCAGCCAGGAGGAGGAGUGGGCCUAACUUAAGUCGCUCCGCUAGCUGGCAAAAUUACGCACAUCCCUGUCGACUCACUCGUAAGAAUACUUACUCACACACACACACAGUAGUUGUUACCAGCCCUCUCUGUGUUUGUGCUGAAGUGAUGUUGCUGUUCCUCGUCAGUUACUGUCUGUGGGUGAAGCAGAGACACUUGGUAACUCUACAGUUGUACCGAGCUGCAGUCUGACACACACACAUCCCUCUUGACUCACUCGUAAGAGUACGUGCACACACACACACACACACUCACACACACACACACACACACUCACACACACACACACACACACACACACACACACACACACUCACACACACACACACACACACACACACACACACACACACACACACACACACACACACACACAUUGAUGUCACACCCUGAGUUAGACACUAGCUAGUAUGGAUAAAGUCAACAACAACAUAAUUACUCUCCCAUUGUUAUCCGUGUCUGAUUUAGUUGUAUUAGAUUUUAUUGAUCAGUGAUUUUAUUGCUUAUUUUAAUAUUCCUCUAUAUACCAACAUCCCUUCUCUCUUCACCCUCGCCCUUCAACCCCACCUCUCUUCACCUCGCCCUUCAACCCCACCUCUCUCUUCACCCCUCGCCCUUCAACCCCUCCUCUCUUCACCCCCCUCGCCCUUCAACCCCACCUCUCUCUUCACCCCCUCGCCCUUCAACCCCACCUCUCUCUUCACCCCCCUCGCCCUUCAACCCCACCUCUCUUCACCCCCCCUCGCCCUUCAACCCCACCUCUCUUCACCCCCCCCGCCCUUCAACCCCACCUCUCUCUUCACCCCCCCCUUGCCCUUCAACCCCACCUCUCUCUUCACCCCUCGCCCUUCAACCCCACCUCUCUCUUCACCCCUCGCCCUUCAACCCCUCCUCUCUUCACCUCGCCCUUCAACCCCACCUCUCUCUUCACCCCUCGCCCUUCAACCCCACCUCUCUCUUCACCCCCCUCGCCCUUCAACCCCACCUCUCUCUUCACCCCCCUCCUCGCCCUUCAACCCCACCUCUCUCUUCACCUCGCCCUUCAACCCCACCUCUCUCUUCACCCCCGUCUUCACCGUUCUCGCUCUCUUCCUCCCUCUGUCCCCCUCAUUAGGUCGUUCCGCUUUAAAGCAGCCCAUAGAGUACAGUCUUUACACCCUUUCACCAACACCCUUUCACCAACACCCUUUCACCAACACCCUUUCACCAACACCCUUUCACCAACAGUCUUUACACCCUUUCACCAACAGUCUUUACACCCUUUCACCAACAGUCUUUACACCCUUUCACCAACAGUCUGUCCGACACAGGCAGUCUGUCCGAUGGAUGGAUCACUGUAUCAGCCCUUAUCUGUUUCCUCUAGGACCAUUUCUAUUGGCUGUUUUCUGACCCCGCCCCUAACCACCCACACUAACAGUAGAGGCUAUGUUAUUAUUGAUGAUCAGUUUCUCUUUGUGAACGAUGUUAUUAUUGAUGAUCAGUUUCUCUUUGUAAACUAGCCAGAGUCUGCAACAAAAAAAAUCUGUUUUAUUCAAUUGUGCUUCACUUUUUUUUUCUUACUCUUUUUAAUGUCUUCUAACCCCUUCUAUCUAUCAAAGCAACCGUUAGUUCUAAGAGGCUUUAGCCAAACAUAGAGAUUUAUAUUGGAACCAUUAACGAUGAUCCUUCUUGGUAUUUGAUAUGCCAUAAAUCAUUUUAAAGAUCACCUUGUCGUUGUUACUAUGUCAGUUAAAUAUCGCCCGUCAAAAGCUUUUUAAAUGAUAAUCGUUUCUGCACUACGUUCGUAUAUUCUCGUAUUAUUAACGUCCCUUUAUAAAGAUUUCAUGGUCGACUCAAGUGAAGCUGUACUUUGCACAGAGUUGGAAGUCCCCAGAAAAAUACAAUGGCCUAUCAUGAGAGCGAUUCUAUGAUGACAUCACAGCACGUGUGAUUGGUUUACCCCUUAUAGAGUGGAGUUUUGUGAUGAGUAGAACAGAGCUGUAUUGGUUACUGUAGGACUGUGUUAUAAGGUUUCAGUACAUGUAUGGCUACACUGCCUGGUGGUCCAGACUAGAUAGGCUUACAGGUAAUAAAGACAGUUGAUUACAUUGCAAAUUUCACUCCAUUCCUUAUAAUAGUGCACUACUUUUGACCUUGUGGUGCAGGGUCCUGGUCAUGAGUAGUGUACUAGAAAGGGAAUAGGAUGCUAUUUGGGAUGCAGCUAGGGAGGAUAUGGAGUGAGCGGUCAGUUCAGGUCACAUGAUGAUGAUAUAACAUCAUACAGGUGUCGAGUCUGUGAGUAUCUGUACCAACGCCUUCUGAAGCAACUGUAACACAUGUAAUACAUCAACUGUAAACCAGCAGUAAUGUGUACUGUAUCAUGUACUGUAAGCCCCCUCCCCCCUCAAAACAACAGUGCAGUAAAAGGUUCAUCUUCAUCACUACUAUUAUUGCUGUUAUAAUUAUGAUCGGUAUAAUUUGUCAUCGUUAGCUAAAAUGGAAGCACCAGAAUGUUGUGGAGAGAGCCCUUUUAUAUUCGUCUGGCUGUGGAGGAAGUGAUUUCACAAAGGAAGACUGGAACAGGAGGAGAGGCUUGAUGAUGUAAAGAUGGUGGUCGUGUUUGUACGGUUGAGAAACGACUUACAGUGCUGAAAUAAAAUUUAUUCUUUUAGUAAAAAAAAAA